AGAUUAAGUUAUUAAGGGCGCACGGUGGAUGCCUUGGCACUAGAAGCCGAUGAAGGACGUUACUAACGACGAUAUGCUUUGGGGAGCUGUAAGUAAGCUUUGAUCCAGAGAUUUCCGAAUGGGGAAACCCAGCAUGAGUUAUGUCAUGUUAUCGAUAUGUGAAUACAUAGCAUAUCAGAAGGCACACCCGGAGAACUGAAACAUCUUAGUACCCGGAGGAAGAGAAAGAAAAUUCGAUUCCCUUAGUAGCGGCGAGCGAAACGGGAAGAGCCCAAACCAACAAGCUUGCUUGUUGGGGUUGUAGGACACUCUAUACGGAGUUACAAAGGACGACAUUAGACGAAUCAUCUGGAAAGAUGAAUCAAAGAAGGUAAUAAUCCUGUAGUCGAAAAUGUUGUCUCUCUUGAGUGGAUCCUGAGUACGACGGAGCACGUGAAAUUCCGUCGGAAUCUGGGAGGACCAUCUCCUAAGGCUAAAUACUCUCUAGUGACCGAUAGUGAACCAGUACCGUGAGGGAAAGGUGAAAAGCACCCCGGAAGGGGAGUGAAACAGAACCUGAAACCGUGUGCUUACAAGUAGUCAGAGCCCGUUAAUGGGUGAUGGCGUGCCUUUUGUAGAAUGAACCGGCGAGUUACGAUUUGAUGCAAGGUUAAGCAGUAAAUGUGGAGCCGUAGCGAAAGCGAGUCUGAAUAGGGCGUUUAGUAUUUGGUCGUAGACCCGAAACCAGGUGAUCUACCCUUGGUCAGGUUGAAGUUCAGGUAACACUGAAUGGAGGACCGAACCGACUUACGUUGAAAAGUGAGCGGAUGAACUGAGGGUAGCGGAGAAAUUCCAAUCGAACCUGGAGAUAGCUGGUUCUCUCCGAAAUAGCUUUAGGGCUAGCCUCAAGUGAUGAUUAUUGGAGGUAGAGCACUGUUUGGACGAGGGGCCCCUCUCGGGUUACCGAAUUCAGACAAACUCCGAAUGCCAAUUAAUUUAACUUGGGAGUCAGAACAUGGGUGAUAAGGUCCGUGUUCGAAAGGGAAACAGCCCAGACCACCAGCUAAGGUCCCAAAAUAUAUGUUAAGUGGAAAAGGAUGUGGCGUUGCCCAGACAACUAGGAUGUUGGCUUAGAAGCAGCCAUCAUUUAAAGAGUGCGUAAUAGCUCACUAGUCGAGUGACACUGCGCCGAAAAUGUACCGGGGCUAAACAUAUUACCGAAGCUGUGGAUUGUCCUUUGGACAAUGGUAGGAGAGCGUUCUAAGGGCGUUGAAGCAUGAUCGUAAGGACAUGUGGAGCGCUUAGAAGUGAGAAUGCCGGUGUGAGUAGCGAAAGACGGGUGAGAAUCCCGUCCACCGAUUGACUAAGGUUUCCAGAGGAAGGCUCGUCCGCUCUGGGUUAGUCGGGUCCUAAGCUGAGGCCGACAGGCGUAGGCGAUGGAUAACAGGUUGAUAUUCCUGUACCACCUAUAAUCGUUUUAAUCGAUGGGGGGACGCAGUAGGAUAGGCGAAGCGUGCGAUUGGAUUGCACGUCUAAGCAGUAAGGCUGAGUAUUAGGCAAAUCCGGUACUCGUUAAGGCUGAGCUGUGAUGGGGAGAAGACAUUGUGUCUUCGAGUCGUUGAUUUCACACUGCCGAGAAAAGCCUCUAGAUAGAAAAUAGGUGCCCGUACCGCAAACCGACACAGGUAGUCAAGAUGAGAAUUCUAAGGUGAGCGAGCGAACUCUCGUUAAGGAACUCGGCAAAAUGACCCCGUAACUUCGGGAGAAGGGGUGCUCUUUAGGGUUAACGCCCAGAAGAGCCGCAGUGAAUAGGCCCAAGCGACUGUUUAUCAAAAACACAGGUCUCUGCUAAACCGUAAGGUGAUGUAUAGGGGCUGACGCCUGCCCGGUGCUGGAAGGUUAAGAGGAGUGGUUAGCUUCUGCGAAGCUACGAAUCGAAGCCCCAGUAAACGGCGGCCGUAACUAUAACGGUCCUAAGGUAGCGAAAUUCCUUGUCGGGUAAGUUCCGACCCGCACGAAAGGCGUAACGAUUUGGGCACUGUCUCAACGAGAGACUCGGUGAAAUCAUAGUACCUGUGAAGAUGCAGGUUACCCGCGACAGGACGGAAAGACCCCGUGGAGCUUUACUGUAGCCUGAUAUUGAAAUUCGGCACAGCUUGUACAGGAUAGGUAGGAGCCUUUGAAACGUGAGCGCUAGCUUACGUGGAGGCGCUGGUGGGAUACUACCCUAGCUGUGUUGGCUUUCUAACCCGCACCACUUAUCGUGGUGGGAGACAGUGUCAGGCGGGCAGUUUGACUGGGGCGGUCGCCUCCUAAAAGGUAACGGAGGCGCUCAAAGGUUCCCUCAGAAUGGUUGGAAAUCAUUCAUAGAGUGUAAAGGCAUAAGGGAGCUUGACUGCGAGACCUACAAGUCGAGCAGGGUCGAAAGACGGACUUAGUGAUCCGGUGGUUCCGCAUGGAAGGGCCAUCGCUCAACGGAUAAAAGCUACCCCGGGGAUAACAGGCUUAUCUCCCCCAAGAGUUCACAUCGACGGGGAGGUUUGGCACCUCGAUGUCGGCUCAUCGCAUCCUGGGGCUGUAGUCGGUCCCAAGGGUUGGGCUGUUCGCCCAUUAAAGCGGUACGCGAGCUGGGUUCAGAACGUCGUGAGACAGUUCGGUCCCUAUCCGUCGUGGGCGUAGGAAAUUUGAGAGGAGCUGUCCUUAGUACGAGAGGACCGGGAUGGACAUACCUCUGGUGCACCAGUUGUCGUGCCAACGGCAUAGCUGGGUAGCUAUGUGUGGACGGGAUAAGUGCUGAAAGCAUCUAAGCAUGAAGCCCCCCUCAAGAUGAGAUUUCCCAACUUCGGUUAUAAGAUCCCUCAAAGAUGAUGAGGUUAAUAGGUUCGAGGUGGAAGCAUGGUGACAUGUGGAGCUGACGAAUACUAAUCGAUCGAAGACUUAAUCAAAUU
rnacentral:rRNA from 1 species